GGCUUUAUAGUCAAUAAUGACAUUAGACUGCAAUUCUAAAGGAGUAAAUAUUUACUAAGGCUU
rnacentral:tRNA from 21 species